rnacentral:rRNA from 1 species
AUGGAGGCCAGGGAGAUCCGGGAUGCACUUGCGGUGUAUGAGCGUACCAUGGGCCAGUUUAUUAAUCCUAUGAAGUGCUCGAUCCUUUUUGGCAGUAGAUGUCGCCCUGAAGCCCAGGCUGCUAUUAUGCAAGUGUUGCAAGUGCAAAAUCAAGAAUUUGAAGAGAGAUAUCUAGGGCUACCAACCCCUACAGGACGCAUGUCAAAAGGGACGUUUCAAAGUCUCCAAGAACAGCUCACCAAGAGGAUUCUCUUAUGGGGUGAUGCGGCUUCACAAGGAGGGAAAGAGGUACUUAUAAAAGCUGUGGCGCAGUCUCUUCCUACUUAUUUGAUGAAUGUAUUCCGUCUUUCCCGAAGCGUCUGUGACGAUCUCACCCGCAUGGUCCGGAACUUUUGGUGGGGAGCGAAAGAGGGGAAGAGGAAAACACACUGGAGGGUGUGGGACAUGAUGAUUAAGCCAAAGAAUCGAGGCGGCAUGGGGUUCCGAGAUUUCAGACUUUUGAACCAAGCCUUGCUCGCACAGCAAGCUUGGCGUUUAAUCUCUAACCCUGACAGCUUAUGCGCGCAGGUGUUGAAGGCCCGCUAUUAUCCAGAUGGACGCUUGGAGGACACGGUCUUCUCCGGCAACGCCUCUCCAACCUGGCAGGCCGUUGUCCAUGGCCUUGACCUUCUCAAGAAGGGGCUUAUAUGGCGCAUUGGCGAUGGCUCCUCUGUUUGCAUAUGGCGGGAUUAG